rnacentral:lncRNA from 1 species
GUCGCUCUCUCUUGUACAUAAAGGCUUCUACAGCCAGAGACACAAGGGGGUUUUGUUUUGUUGUAAGUUUAGCCAUUGCUACUUUCUUGUAGACGCAUGUGUCGACUAGACCAUCCGUUCUACUUGAUUCAAAACCCCAUAUUGUUAUCGUGAUUCAUAUCAGAUCCUUCUUGUAUUAUUUGGCAAUUGAGUGCUUGUUCUAUCUGUUCUUGCAUGUUCUUCGAUUGCGUGCAGGAAUUACCCUAGUGGUUUGGUUGGUCGUGAUCAACAAGAUCGUGAUCAACCGCUGGAAUUGGUGUAUCGAUCGCUAAGGCGCAGCGUCCUUGGACGGUUGUAGUCAGAUCGUGAACGUCGCUCCAGAGAGAUCGAAGUUAUCCAUCUCCACCGAAAAGAUCGGGACACCCUCGUUCUUAUUAUGUGGUAAUCAGAGCAAGGUUUGAUUGGUGAGAGAUUUUAGUUUGCAAUUUUUUUUCCUAUAGUCCGGAAAAGCCAAAAAAAUUUUAGUUUCAUUCCCAACAUCCUAUAACCCAUUGAGCCUUUUACUAGUACUACUUAGUUCAGGCAAGUUGUGUUUGAUUUACAUCGGUCGAGUUGAAUUGCUGGUCUUGGGUUUAGACUUUUAGAGUUUUGAGUUUUUGUCACGUUUUAGUCAUUGCCCAUCGUAUAAUCUCCGCUGCAAUCACUCUUACCAUAUACAUUUGGACUACACUAUAUAUCUGAACUACCAUCACCACCCUACUUGGGCACCGUGUAAACUCCAUCCACCACUCUCUUUUCACUCAUGCGCACCCUAUAUUUUUAGACCAUUGCAUGCACGUUUUCACUUCCACCCGUGAGCAACCUAUUCUUACUCACUGCCACCUGCUUGUUCCUUUCUUCCAUUCAUACAUCCUAUUGUAAGCGCUCUUGCACAUUCUAUAAUCAGCAUCCUAUUUUUAAUCAGCAUCCUAUUGCAACCACUAGAUUCAUUCCACUCUUGGGCAUCUAAUUUUAGAACAUUGCAUCCUUGUCCACUUCAUGCGCAUCCUUUUGCCUCUCCUCCACUCUUCUUUCACAUUCUAUUUUUCUCAUCCCCAUUGCAAUCAGUGUUACUGCAGCAUCAUAUCACCAUCAUAAUCUGCUAGUUGUAUUUUUGUUACACUAAAGACAUUGUGUGUUUUCUGAAAUCUAAUCCAUCAAGAUUCAGAUUUAUUUUAGUUGAGCAAAGUAGGAAAAAAAACAGAAAGAAACAAAAAAAUAUCAAAAAAAGAAAAGAAAAAGGAAAGAAAAGAAAAGAAAGGAAAGAAAAGAAAGGAAGAGGAAAAGAAGGGAAGUUAUCUCUUGUUGUUCUUAUUAUUCUUGCGAUAUUGUGACUUCAUCUGUGCCUAGGCUCGCGUCUCUAGCACGGUCAAGCCUAGGACCAGCACAGUGCCACCGUUGAAUGAUUUCUCAACAUGCUUUUAUGACUAAUGUGGUGCUAGUACUUCCUUGUGUAAUAUAUAGAGCCAUCCUAUAACUCCACAUAUCAGACUACAACUUGACAAGUGUUGUUGCUGCAGCGUUGAUACACCAUUUUCUAGGUUUUCUGACUUGUUGGUUCCUGCCACCUCCUGUUUCGCUUGGUGAGAACUUGUGAGAACUUGUUUGCAUAGGGUGAGAGUGAAAUAAUUACAACAACCACAUCCUUGUAGUUGAUGGGAGCAUAAAGAUUAUUGCGUAUGUCUCUUGUUUUGUUCUAAUCAUGGCAGGAAUCCACGUAGAAACAAGCGAUAAUCAGAUUGCAUGUUCACAUCACUUUGCUAAAGGUGUGGCAAGUGAUAAGUAUGGCACUCAUGAGGUAUGUGAUGUUUUGUUAGAUGAAAUAAAAUCUGCAUUACCUUAUUUUGAAGGAAAUUGUGAUCCACAUGCAUAUAUUAAAUGGGAGCUAAAUGUAGACAAUGAAUUUAAAAAGCAUAAUCUAUCUGAAAGCCAAAAGAUUAGAGUUGCUUCCAGUGUUCUUACUGAGUAUGCUUUAAGUUCAUGGAAAUACCUUUGUAGAUUUCAUAAAGCUCCUCAAACAUGGAAAUAUGUGAAAAAGACAUUUUAGAGAUGUUUUUGUCCCUGAGUACUAUUCUGAAAUUUUGUUUGAAAAACUACAAUCUAUAAAGCAAGAAAACAAAACCGUAGCGGAAUAUUUGGAUAAACUAAAAUUCUGUGUGCUGCGAUGUGGAUUAGAAGAAACUGAUGAACUUUUGGAACAUAGAUUUCUGCAAGGUCUUAAUGUAGAAAUUCAAAACAUUCUUGUUGAUAAGUAUUAUAACACCUUUGAUGAAUUGUUUGAUCUUGCUUGUGACUUAGAAAGGGAUCUCUCAAGAUUAGCACUAUCUCCAACCAGACCGAACCGAACUUUCACUUGAUCCUCUUCACCUAGGAGUACCAUCGGGAACUUCCACAACGAUUUUUGAGCCUAUGGUGCACUAGGCACAAACCAUGCAAAUAUCUUGCACCGAAACUAAUACUAUCUCCAACUGGACCGAAGCGAGAUUCCAUAUGAUACACUUCCUCUAGUAGUUCCAUUGGGUGCAUCUACAGUCCAUCGGGUUUGUCCCAAUUGAUUUCUGAGCAUAUGGUAUGUUCCACGCAAACCGUACACCUAUCUUGCAUCAAGAUUAGAACUAUCUCCAAACAGACAGAACAAAGAUUCCACUUGAGCCUCUUCACCAAGGAGUACCAUCGUGUGCGUCCAAAAUUGUUUCUUAGCCUAUGGUGCAUUAGGCACAAACCGUGUACCUAUCUUGCACCGAAACUAACACUAUCUCCAAAGAGACCGAAGUGAGAUUCUAUAUGACACACGUCAUCUAGGAGUUCUAUUGCGUGCUUCCAAAUGUAUUUCGAAGCAUAUGGUACGUUCCAUGCAAUUCGUGCACCUAUCUUGCAUCAAGAUUAGCACUAUCUGCAAACAAAAGCAAACUGAGCUUCCACUUGAGCUCCUUUACCCAGGAGUAUCAUCGGGUGCAUCCAAAAUGGUUUCUUAGCCUAUGAUGCAUUAGGCGCAAACUGUGUACCUAUCUCGCACCAAAACUAACUCUGUCUCCAAACAGACCGAAGCGAGAUUCCAUAUGACACAUGUCAUCUAGGAGUUCUAUUGGGGUGCGUCCAAAUGGAUUUCUUAGCAUAUGAAAUGUUCCAUGCAAACCAUGCACCUAUCUUGCGUCAGGAUUAGCACUAUCUCCAACACAGAUCAAAUUGACCUUCCACUUGAGCCUCUUCACCUAGGAGUAUUAUCAGGUGCUUCCAAUCUUGCACCUAAACUAACACUGUCUCGAAACAGAUUGAAGCAAGAUUCCAUAUGACACACAUGAUCCAGAGUUCUAUCGAGUGCGUACAAAUUGAUUUCCGAGAAUAUGGUAUGUUCCAUGCAAACCGUACACCUAUCUUGCAUCAAGAUUAGCACUAUCUCCAAACAAAUCGAACAAAGCUUUCAAUUCAGCCUCUUCACCUAGUAGUACCAUCGGGAACUUCCACAAUGGUUUCUGAGCCUAUGGUGCACUGGGCACAAACCAUGCACUUAUCUUGCACUGAAACUAAUACUAUCUCCAACUGGACUGAAGCGAGAUUCCAUAUGAUACACUUCAUCUAGUAGUUCCAUCAGGUGCAUCUACAGUUCCAUCGAGUGUGUCCAAAUUGAUUUCUGAGCAUAUGGUAUGUUCCAUGCAAACCGUGCACCUAUCUUGCAUCAAGAUUAGAACUAUCUCCAAACAGACAAAACCAAGAUUCCACAUGAGCCUCUUCAACAAGGAGUACCAUCGCGUGCGUCCAAAAUAGUUUCUUAGCCUAUGGUGCAUUAGGCACUAACCGUGCACCUAUCUUGCACCAAAACUAACAUUAUCUCCAAAGAGACCGAAGUGAGAUUCUAUAUGACACACGUCAUCUAGGAGUUCUAUUGGGUGCAUCCAAAUAUAUUUCUAAGCAUAUGGUACGUUCGAUGCAAUUUGUGCACCUAUCUUGCAUCAAGCACUAUCUCCAAACAAAGCAAACUGAGCUUCCACUUGAGCCCCUUUACCCAGGAGUAUCAUCGGGUCCAUCCAAAAUGGUUUCUUAGCCUAUGAUGUAUUAGGCGCAAACUGUGCACCUAUCUUGCACCAAAACUAACUCUGUCUCCAAACAGACCAAAGCGAGAUUCUAUAUGACACAUGUCAUCUAGGAGUUCUAUUGGGGAGUGUCCAAAUGGAUUUCUUAGCAUAUGGUAUGUUCCAUGCAAACCGUGCACCUAUCUUGCAUCAAGAUUAGCACUAUCUCCAAACAUAUCAAGCCGACCUUCCACUUGAGCCACUUCACAUAGGAUUAUCAUCGGGUGCUUCCAUAAUGGUUUCUGAGCCAAUGGUGCAUUAUGCGUAAACCAUGCACCAAUCUUGCACCUAAACUAACAUUGUCUCCAAACAGAUUGAAGCGAGAUUCCAUAUGACACACAUGAUCUAGGAGUUCUAUCGCGUGCGUCCAAAUUGAUUUCUGAGAAUAUGGUACGUUCCAUGCAAACCAUACACCUAUCUUUCAUCAAGAUUAGCACUAUCUCCAAAUAGACCGAACCGAACUUUCACUUGAUCCUCUUCACCUAGGAGUACCAUCGGGAACUUCCACAACGAUUUUUGAGCCUAUGGUGCACUAGGCACAAACCAUGCAACUAUCUUGCACCGAAACUAAUACUAUCUCCAACUGGACCGAAGCGAGAUUCCAUAUGAUACACUUCCUCUAGUAGUUCCAUUGGGUGCAUCUACAGUCCAUCGGGUUUGUCCCAAUUGAUUUCUGAGCAUAUGGUAUGUUCCACGCAAACCG